GCCAAGGUAGCUCAGUGGUAGAGCGAAGGACUGAAAAUCCUUGCGUCGGGAGUCCGAUUCUCCCCCUUGGCA
rnacentral:tRNA from 1 species